GGACUCUGCUUGUUUCAGUAGCCCAUGUACUAAAAUAGGAACAAUACAGAGAAGAUUAGCACAGCCCCCACGCAAGGCUGACACAUAAAUUCAUGAAGCAUUAGAGACAAAA
ensembl:snRNA U6 U6 spliceosomal RNA